GAGGAAUAUUGGUCAAUGGGCGAGAGCCUGAACCAGCCAUGCCGCGUGCAGGAAGACGGUCCUAUGGAUUGUAGACUGCUUUUAUUUGGGAAUAAACUCCGGUACGUGUACCGGCCUGAAGGUACCAAAUGAAUAAGCACCGGCUAACUCCGUGCCAGCAGCCGCGGUAAUACGGAGGGUGCAAGCGUUAUCCGGAAUCAUUGGGUUUAAAGGGUCCGCAGGCGGUCUUAUAAGUCAGUGGUGAAAGCCUACAGCUCAACUGUAGAACUGCCAUUGAUACUGUAAGACUUGAAUUCGAUCGAAGUGGGCGGAAUAUGACAUGUAGCGGUGAAAUGCUUAGAUAUGUCAUAGAACACCGAUAGCGAAGGCAGCUCACUAGGUCUGGAUUGACGCUCAGGGACGAAAGCGUGGGGAGCAAAC
rnacentral:rRNA from 1 species